AGUGUUACCUUAUCUGAUUCUGGAUUAACAAGUCUGUCUAGUUUCAGUUGCCACCUGGCAGUCUCUCUGAGAGCGGGGGAGUAAUCACAGGCCAGUCUUCAGGAAGAACCUAGAAGGAGGUGUCCAACAGUGCGGAUGAGGGAAGACUACAGCUGGGGAGAGCAAGAUGUUAUUAUCCUGCAUGCCCCCCUUCCUGACCAGAUGACCCAGGAACAUUGUAAAACUGAGAGAACCAGCUCCUGGAAGGGGAGAG
rnacentral:lncRNA from 1 species